rnacentral:rRNA from 1 species
AUUGAACGCUGGCGGCAGGCCUAACACAUGCAAGUCGAGCGGAUGAAGGGAGCUUGCUCCUGGAUUCAGCGGCGGACGGGUGAGUAAUGCCUAGGAAUCUGCCUGGUAGUGGGGGAUAACGUCCGGAAACGGGCGCUAAUACCGCAUACGUCCUGAGGGAGAAAGUGGGGGAUCUUCGGACCUCACGCUAUCAGAUGAGCCUAGGUCGGAUUAGCUAGUUGGUGGGGUAAAGGCCUACCAAGGCGACGAUGCGUAACUGGUCUGAGAGGAUGAUCAGUCACACUGGAACUGAGACACGGUCCAGACUCCUACGGGAGGCAGCAGUGGGGAAUAUUGGACAAGGGGCGAAAGCCUGAUCCAGCCAUGCCGCGUGUGUGAAGAAGGUCUUCGGAUUGUAAAGCACUUUAAGUUGGGAGGAAGGGCAGUAAGUUAAUACCUUGCUGUUUUGACGUUACCAACAGAAUAAGCACCGGCUAACUUCGUG